rnacentral:rRNA from 1 species
UGGGGAAUAUUGCACAAUGGAGGAAACUCUGAUGCAGCGACGCCGCGUGAGUGAAGAAGGUCUUCGGAUCGUAAAACUCUGUCCUUGGUGACGAAAAAAAUGACGGUAGCCAAGGAGGAAGCCCCGGCUAACUACGUACCAGCAGCCGCGGUAAUACGUAGGGGGCGAGCGUUGUCCGGAUUUACUGGGCGUAAAGGGUGAGUAGGCGGUAAUAUGUGUCAGAUGUAAAAGGCUAUGGCUUAACCAUAGUUGGCAUUUGAAACUGUAUUACUUGAGUGCAGGAGAGGUAAGUGGAAUUCCUAGUGUAGCGGUGAAAUGCGUAGAUAUUAGGAGGAACACCAGUGGCGAAGGCGACUUACUGGACUGUAACUGACGCUGAGUCACGAAAGCGUGGGUAGCAAACA